rnacentral:rRNA from 1 species
GGCGGCAUGCCUAACACAUGCAAGUCGAACGAGACCUUCGGGUCUAGUGGCGCACGGGUGCGUAACGCGUGGGAAUCUGCCCUUGGGCUCGGAAUAACAGUGAGAAAUUACUGCUAAUACCGGAUGAUGUCGAAAGACCAAAGAUUUAUCGCCCAGGGAUGAGCCCGCGUAGGAUUAGCUAGUUGGUGAGGUAAAGGCUCACCAAGGCGACGAUCCUUAGCUGGUCUGAGAGGAUGAUCAGCCACACUGGGACUGAGACACGGCCCAGACUCCUACGGGAGGCAGCAGUGGGGAAUAUUGGACAAUGGGCGAAAGCCUGAUCCAGCAAUGCCGCGUGAGUGAUGAAGGCCUUAGGGUUGUAAAGCUCUUUUACCCGGGAAGAUAAUGACUGUACCGGGAGAAUAAGCUCCGGCUAACUCCGUGCCAGCAGCCGCGGUAAUACGGAGGGAGCUAGCGUUGUUCGGAAUUACUGGGCGUAAAGCGCACGUAGGCGGCUUUGCAAGUUAGAA